UACGUAGGUGGCAAGCGUUGUCCGGAUUUAUUGGGGUUAAAGGGUGCGUAGGCGGUCUUUUAAGUCAGUGCUGAAAUAUCCCGGCUUAACCGGGAGGGUGGCAUUGAUACUGAAGGACUUGAGUAAAGUUGAGGUAGGCGGAAUUGACGGUGUAGCGGUGAAAUGCUUAGAUAUCGUCAAGGACACCGAUAGUGUAGACAGCUUACUAAGCUUUAACUGACGCUGAGGCACGAAAGUGUGGGGAUCAAACAGG
rnacentral:rRNA from 1 species